rnacentral:misc_RNA from 1 species
AACAAGGCGUACCUGCGGACCUGCGGAGGGAUCAUUACAGAGUUCGUGCCCUCGCGGGUAGAUCUCCCACCCUUGUGUAUUUUCUACAUCUUGUUGCUUUGGCAGGCCGUUGGUUCGCCAACCACCGGCUCGCGGGCUGGUGCGUGCCUGCCAGAGGACCUCUCAAACUCGGUUUGUUAGUGUCGUCUGAGUACCAUAACAAUCGUUAAAACUUUUAACAAUGGAUCUCAGAUCGGAAGA